rfam:Echinops telfairi cont1.523265, whole genome shotgun sequence.
AUUUUGCUUUCGAUCGCGUUGUAGAAUGGCGCUGUAGCCAGCCCGUAGGUGAGGAAUGCCUGGACACCCUGGGCCAGAUCUCUAUCUUGAUUGUGGAGACUUUGUUUCCUGACCAGCUGGAGGU